AUGAACGCUGGCGGCGUGCUUAACACAUGCAAGUCGAACGAAGCACUUUAUUACGAUUUCUUCGGAAUGACGAUUUAGUGACUGAGUGGCGGACGGGUGAGUAACGCGUGGGUAACCUGCCUCAUACAGGGGGAUAACAGUUGGAAACGACUGCUAAUACCGCAUAAGCGCACAGUAUCGCAUGAUACAGUGUGAAAAACUCCGGUGGUAUGAGAUGGACCCGCGUCUGAUUAGCUAGUUGGUGGGGUAACGGCCUACCAAGGCAACGAUCAGUAGCCGACCUGAGAGGGUGACCGGCCACAUUGGGACUGAGACACGGCCCAAACUCCUACGGGAGGCAGCAGUGGGGAAUAUUGCACAAUGGGCGAAAGCCUGAUGCAGCGACGCCGCGUGAACGAUGAAGUAUUUCGGUAUGUAAAGUUCUAUCAGCAGGGAAGAAAAAAUGACGGUACCUGACUAAGAAGCACCGGCUAAAUACGUGCCAGCAGCCGCGGUAAUACGUAUGGUGCAAGCGUUAUCCGGAUUUACUGGGUGUAAAGGGAGCGUAGGCGGUUUUAUAAGUCUGAUGUGAAAGCCCGGGGCUCAACCCCGGGACUGCAUUGGAAACUGUAGAACUAGAGUGUCGGAGGGGUAAGUGGAAUUCCUAGUGUAGCGGUGAAAUGCGUAGAUAUUAGGAGGAACACCAGUGGCGAAGGCGGCUUACUGGACGAUUACUGACGCUGAGGCUCGAAAGCGUGGGGAGCAAACAGGAUUAGAUACCCUGGUAGUCCGCACGGUAAACGAUGGAUGCCCGCUGUUGGCUUGAAUUAGUCAGCGGCCAAGCGAAAGCAUUAAGCAUCCCACCUGGGGAGUACGCCGGCAACGGUGAAACUCAAAGGAAUUGACGGGGACCCGCACAAGCAGCGGAGCAUGUGGUUUAAUUCGAAGCAACGCGAAGAACCUUACCAAGUCUUGACAUCCCGAUGACCAACUAUGUAAUGUAGUCUCUCUUCGGAGCAUCGGUGACAGGUGGUGCAUGGUUGUCGUCAGCUCGUGUCGUGAGAUGUUGGGUUAAGUCCCGCAACGAGCGCAACCCUUGUCCUUAGUAGCCAGCAUUUCGGAUGGGCACUCUAGGGAGACUGCCAGGGUGAACCUGGAGGAAGGUGGGGAUGACGUCAAAUCAUCAUGCCCCUUAUGACUUGGGCUACACACGUGCUACAAUGGCGUAAACAAAGGGAAGCGAAAUCGCGAGGUGGAGCAAAUCUCAAAAAUAACGUCUCAGUUCGGAUUGUAGUCUGCAACUCGACUACAUGAAGCUGGAAUCGCUAGUAAUCGCGAAUCAGAAUGUCGCGGUGAAUACGUUCCCGGGUCUUGUACACACCGCCCGUCACACCAUGGGAGUUGGGAAUGCCCGAAGUCAGUGACCUAACCGUAAGGAAGGAGCUGCCGAAGGCAGGCUCGAUAACUGGGGUG
rnacentral:rRNA from 1 species